rnacentral:rRNA from 1 species
UGACGGCGUACCUUUUGUAUAAUGGGUCUACGACUUAGUGUGACAAGCGAGCUUAAGCCGGUAGGUGUAGGCGUAGCGAAAGCGAGUCUGAAUAGGGCGUUUAGUUUGUUGCAUUAGACCCGAAACCGAGUGAUCUAGCCAUGAGCAGGUUGAAGGUUGGGUAACACCAAUUGGAGGACCGAACCCGUAUCUGUUGCAAUAGAUUGGGAUGACUUGUGGCUAGGGGUGAAAGGCCAAUCAAACUCGGAGAUAGCUGGUUCUCCGCGAAAUCUAUUUAGGUAGAGCGUUAACUGAAUACCCUCGGGGGUAGAGCACUGGAUAGGCUAUGGGGGCUUACCGCCUUACUGCUCCUAACCAAACUCCGAAUACCGAGGAGUACUAGUUGGCAGACACACAGUGGGUGCUAACGUCCAUUGUGGAGAGGGCAACAACCCUGACCUCCAUCUAAGGUCCCGAAGUCAUGGCUAAGUGGGAAAGGAUGUGAAGAUCCCAAAACAACCAGGAUGUUGGCUUAGAAGCAGCCAUCAUUUAAAGAAAGCGUAACAGCUCACUGGUCUAGAUAAGGAUUUUUGCGCCGAAAAUGUAACGGGGCUAAAGCCAUGCACCGAAGAUGAGGAUUUGUUUAUUUUUAAACGAGUGGUAGCGGAGCGUUCCGUAAGCUGAUGAAGGAGGACUUGUGAGA